AUAACCGGGGCGUCUGUGUUUCAGACUGAGAUUAAGCGGCUUGACGCUUUAACCCGCAUAACCUGAUUUGGGCAAUGCCAGCGUAGGGAGUUAGAAC
rnacentral:ncRNA from 1 species